ACAUCUUCGCCUGCGACGGCGGCAUCUGCUCCUGCUUUUGCUGCGGCAGCAUCGGUAUCUGGCCAUGGUGCUGGCUUGGCCGGGAGCUGGCUCAGAGCAGGGGACACCACCUGGGUCGAGCCAGCCAACCUGUGAGCAGGUGGAAUUUUGUGGGCUGUGGCCUGGGAGCCAGCACCCUCUUCCUCUUAUAGAUACUAGUGGCCCCUAGGAAUUAUGAAGUCAAAGAGGACCAGGACCUCACAGACCAUGGCCAGUGAGGACCUGUACCAUGUCCAAAUAUGGGCAUGAGAGGGGUGGGCAGGGCUUUGGCAUCAGGAGUUGCUUGUGUCACAGUCAAGAAGUGACAAAGAUGGCAUCCACUUGAGUGUUCAGUUAGUCACUCAGCUUAGGUGUUAAGUGCCACACACCUGCUUCUAGGCUAGGUCCUGAUAGAUAACCCAAGGCCAGGCAGGUGGGUGAAACAGCCACAUGGAUUUGAACUGUGAAAAGCACACAUCUUCAGACUGCUCAGAGAAUGCUGCUGAGGGAACUUGACCUUUUAAGAAAUUAUCCAACGCCCCAGUGAGGCACUGACAGACAAAUCCAGAGGGUCUCAGAGUUGCAGGGGGGUGGGCUCUAGUAAAACAUUGAGGCCCCAUCAAGUGCUUCAGGUAUAAAUGGGAGCCACAUGGAUGCAGAGCAGUGUUUGGACUGAGGGAGGUGUUGGACAUUACUAGACAGAAGGUGGACGUGGGUGCUGCUACUGGCCCCUGCUCCCAGCCUGAGAGGGAAGCUGAAAGGGGAUUGCAGUUCAUAUUAGACUUGGCAUCUGGUCAAGAGAAGUAGUAUAGGAUGAAGAGGCUUUGUUGUGCUUUCUGCCAACCAGAGAGGCCCACCAUGUCCUGAGGAUACACAGGCACCUUCUUGACAGCUGCUUCUUGGUGUUUCUGAAGUGUCUAAAGAUGCAGAGGGGACUGCGAAGCGGGAGUGAGUAGAUAUGUGCGGAUGUGAAAAGUGCCCAGUAUGGAGAAGGCCUCAAACAAACAGCACCUUUCCCAUCAAUGGCUUGGGCUUCUUUCACUCUGCCUUCAAGUUCUUUCUGUUCUCAGAGUUGCCUCCCCAGGCAGUUGUGCCGUCUGUGGAUUACUCAAAAGCCUCUAGGCAAGGGACUGAGUAGACGGUAGAAGUGGUAAGCCAGACCCAGUUUGUGUGUUAAGCCAGGCCCCAUGUUGUAGGUGUUUCUCACACAAGACCUGUUUGUUAUUGUCCAUAGCUCAGGGUUGAGCUUGAAUUUUCAAGUUUGAACAAAGGUGGACUAAAGGCUAGUGCUGGCCUUCUCAAAACCCAGUCUCACCUACUGUCCAAACAUGAGGGAAAAGUGGGUGGGAUAAAGGUGUUACUGUCUAGUUAAAGAGCUAUCUCACACAUAAACGCUGUCCCUGAUCACCCACAGAGCACUUUAAGCCCAGGACAAAAUGAGGCUCUAGGGAAGUUGAGAGGGUUCAGCCUCCCAACCUACAGCCUACAGUGAGAUGUCCAACAAUCCAGCUUCAGGCCACUCAGGCUGCAGUGGGUGGGAUUGAGUGGGCCAGUGCUGAUGUUCACUGGA
rnacentral:lncRNA from 1 species